rnacentral:rRNA from 1 species
UACGAAGGGGGCUAGCGUUGCUCGGAAUCACUGGGCGUAAAGCGCACGUAGGCGGCUCUUUAAGUCAGAGGUGAAAUCCUGGAGCUCAACUCCAGAACUGCCUUCGAUACUGGAAGACUCGAGUCCGGGAGAGGUGAGUGGAACUGCGAGUGUAGAGGUGAAAUUCGUAGAUAUUCGCAAGAACACCAGUGGCGAAGGCGGCUCACUGGCCCGGUACUGACGCUGAGGUGCGAAAGCGUGGGGAGCAAACAGG